UACGUAGGGGGCAAGCGUUGUCCGGAUUUAUUGGGCGUAAAGAGCGUGUAGGCGGCCAGAUAGGUCAGCUGUGAAAACUCGAGGCUCAACCUCGAGAUGUCAGCUGAAACCAUCUGGCUAGAGUCCGGAAGAGGAGAAUGGAAUUCCCGGUGUAGCGGUGAAAUGCGCAGAUAUCGGGAAGAACACCCGUGGCGAAGGCGGUUCUCUGGGACGGUACUGACGCUGAGACGCGAAAGCGUGGGGAGCGAACAGG
rnacentral:rRNA from 1 species